GUGGUGGCAGGCGCCUGUCAUUCAUUCCAGCUACUUGGGAGGCUGAGACAGGGGGAUCUCUUGAACCCAGGAGGCAGAGGUUGCAGUGAGCCGAGAUCACGCCACUGCACUCCAGCCUGGGCAACAGAGCGAGACUCCAUCUCAAAAAAAAAAAAAAAUUGUAUAAAAUUAUCUUCAGACUUUUGUAUAAGGUGUACAUGAAACAUAAAUGAAUUUCAUGUUAUUUCAUCAUGAAUACAUCAAUAUUCCGAAAUCCAAAAUCUGAAGCACUUCUGGUCCCAUUUUAGAGAAGAGAUAUUUAACCUGUAUUCAAAGUAGAUGGCCCUUCUUUUUAAAAAAUGCUGAGUUGCUAAGCAAUCCAGUUCCUUUCAAUUUUAGGGUCAUCUCUAAUUAUUAUGGCUUUGAAGAAAAAGCCAUUCUUCCUAUCUAAGCAUUUCCAGAUACCAAAGAUUUAGCUUUUCACACUUGUUAAUCUGAUAGAAUAUACUGGCACUGACGUGACAGGUAGUUUAAUUCACCAUCACAUCUUUUAAUGCUUUAAAAUUGUUCUCCCUCCCUAGGUUGGUUGGGGAGCAAAGUGUAAUCCCAGGUUGCCUAAUCUAAUUUGGCAGUUUUAGUUCCAAUGGUAUUGCAGAAUGUGCUAAUGGGAACUAACAUUUGCUACUGCACAGUGAAAAGAACAAGAAUAGUGUGAUUAAGAACAAUAGUUCAAAUUUGGCCAAAGAUUAAAUGGCCUAGGCAUUCAGACUUCUGUCUUAUGGCUCCUGUCUUUACAACGACCCUGGGGUUAAGGUGGCAUAUUCCAUUGAAAGGCUGCGUGGUGUGAGUUUUCUACGAUUUGAAAAUUAUGAGCUUCUGCGGCAACAAACUUGGAACCUGGGGAUGGAACUUGGGGCCUGACUUGUUAAGUUCCAAUUCUUUUCAUAUUCUCUGUAAGUGUACCAGUCUGUUUCAUGUCAUCUGGACCAUUCUGAUGUGCCUAGAAAUCAAUCUUUUUCCCUCCCUCAAUCCUGCAUGGGGUCAGGCCUACACCUCUGCACAAACUAUAAGGCCAUCAAACAUAAUCCUAAAGUACAAAUAACCUGUGUAGCAAGACUAUAGGACAUCUCUACAGAUGGUUGUCCUCCAGCAUAUCCUGGGAUUCUAGGAAACUAAGAUGAAACAGAGAGGAGAAAGGGGUGGUGCAUAGGUGAACCAAUGACUUCAAACUAAGGGAUUUGCUGGUUUCUCUUCUGCUGCCACAGUAGCUUACAUUAGAGCAGGAAAACUACGAGACCUUCAAUACUAUAGUCAGGACAGCAACAGCAACUUCCACUUUACCUUGCAAAUAUUGAGAGCUUGGACAAUAGUCUAACAAAUUCAAUUUCAAACAUCUGUCGAGAAUUGGAUGAUGCUGACAUUCUAACAUUUCAACAUGCCCCCAAAUUUGUGGAAAGUACACGUGUUUACACCAGGAGAGUUCUAUCUCUGAGUCAGAUGUGGGGAAACUACUACUCUAGAACAGGAUUCUCAACCAGAAUGUGACCCCCUGGGCACAUUUAGCAAUGUCU
rnacentral:lncRNA from 10 species